ACCACUCCGUCAACACCCACUCCUUCCUCCCUCUUUGUCUUGGGCUGGAAACCAAGGAAAAGUUCAAUGACCUCUCUUAACUCUCUCUUAUUCGUUCUGCGUGUUUUUUGGGUAUCAGCUGAGCUCAUUCUGGCCAUGUAAAGGAAUGAGAGGAAAGCAUUGAUGUAAGGGAGUGGCAAGGAGUGGAAUGACUGGUACUCAGGCUAAUAGGCUUGGGUAGCACAUAGAGAGAUGAAGAAAGUGAGCGCAAGAAGAGAAUCUGAGAUGAUCCUCACCCACUACAUCAUCCUCUCCUCAAGCUCUUCAGCACCAAAUCUCUUCUAACGCACAUAAGAGGCUUCCCUGAUCAACGGAACAAUGGAUACCCAAAACAGGGGCCAUCCAUUAUUGAACCAAAAGAGCAACACUACUCAAUCAACAGUACAGACUGAAUACCGACUGGGAUACCACAACUCUCAAAUCAGACACCAAGAUGCUGUCUCUGUCGAAUGUUGAGCUUUUUCAGACACCUGAACAAUUGCUUCAAAUUCUACGAAAUGUAGAACUUUGGGAUUCUUGAGUAUGUGAAAUAACUUUUGAGGAUCCCUUGAUCUUCAAUGCUUCAGAGAAGUUUCUCUUCUACUUGAAAUACAAGGUGAAUCACAACUUUGCAUUUAAUUAGUCUUCACCUUAACUCUUCUCUUCUAUUGUCCUCAUUAGAGGCAAGAUCUUCUCUAUCAAUACUGUAUCAAGCGUUGAGAAAACAUGGGCAGCAUGGGCUCCACCUCCAUCUGGACCUUCAAACAAAAGUUGACAGAAAGCCAGAGUUGCCAAUUAGCACAGAAUGAUGUUAUUUUCUCCCCAGUUAUCGCUCUCCAAACAGAACAAUGAGGAUCAGCGGUUCAGGCCGACCCACGCUCCGGUUACAUGUUUCUGCUGCGAGGCCCAGUUUGUGUGAGCGUAAUCCUUGAGAAAGCAGCUUUUUACAAAACACAAAGAGCAAUGCUGGAGCCAGGGACCUCAUCACCAGAUAAAAGUGUGGAACAAACUAUUUCCCCCUAUGAGGCAAACUGUCUGGUGUUAUAUCAGGGAGAGGUUUUACCAUGCGAUGAGUGCUGUGAAAACAUGACUUCACCUGAGAGUCAAAUGGGACUAUCAUAUCUUGGAUGUAGGAUUGGUGUAUACUGUUGGUUUGAAUGACUGUUGCUUGUUGAAGAGAUAUUUCUGUUCAAAGGCUGCAUUCAAAAACACGCAUUGUUAUUAAGAUCCAAUAAAAAAUUAAAUUUCACAAUA